rnacentral:rRNA from 1 species
UGGGGAAUAUUGGACAAUGGGGGCAACCCUGAUCCAGCCAUGCCGCGUGCGUGAAGAAGGCCUUAGGGUUGUAAAGCGCUUUCAGCGGGGACGAUGAUGACGGUACCCGCAGAAGAAGCCCCGGCUAACUCCGUGCCAGCAGCCGCGGUAAUACGGAGGGGGUUAGCGUUGUUCGGAAUUACUGGGCGUAAAGCGCGCGUAGGCGGAUUAGAAAGUUAGAGGUGAAAUCCCGGGGCUCAACCCCGGAACUGCCUUUAAAACUCCUAGUCUUGAGUUCGAGAGAGGUGAGUGGAAUUCCGAGUGUAGAGGUGAAAUUCGUAGAUAUUCGGAGGAACACCAGUGGCGAAGGCGGCUCACUGGCUCGAUACUGACGCUGAGGUGCGAAAGUGUGGGGAGCAAACAGGAUUAGAUACCCCUGUAGUCC